CAGUCGCCGCGGUAAUACGAAGGUGGCUAGCGUUGUUCGGAUUUACUGGGCGUAAAGCGCACGUAGGCGGAUUGGUCAGUUAGGGGUGAAAUCCUGGAGCUCAACUCCAGAACUGCCUUUAAUACUGCCAGUCUCGAGUCCGGAAGAGGUAAGUGGAACUCCUAGUGUAGAGGUGGAAUUCGUAGAUAUUAGGAAGAACACCAGUGGCGAAGGCGGCUUACUGGUCCGGUACUGACGCUGAGGUGCGAAAGCGUGGGGAGCAAACAGGAUUAGAUACCCGAGUAGUCCCUGUCUCUUAUAC
rnacentral:rRNA from 1 species